ACCUACGGGGCGCAGCAGUGGGGGAUAUUGCACAAUGGGGGAAACCCUGAUGCAGCGACGCCGCGUGUGGGAAGACGGUCCUCUGGAUUGUAAACCACUGUCCCCAGGGACGAAGAUGACGGUACCUGGGGAGGAAGCUCCGGCUAACUACGUGCCAGCAGCCGAGGUAAUACGUAGGGAGCAAGCGUUGUCCGGAAUUACUGGGUGUAAAGGGAGCGUAGGCGGGAUGGCAAGUGGGGUGUUAAAUCUACC
rnacentral:rRNA from 1 species